rnacentral:snoRNA from 1 species
AUCCUUUUGUUGUUUAUGAGCAUGAUGAUUGGGUUUUCACACAUAUGCGUGAGAUGUGCCACUCUUAAACCUUGUUAUGACGUCGGUACAUCACCUGUCUGACG